UACGUAGGGUGCGAGCGUUAAUCGGAAUUACUGGGCGUAAAGCGUGCGCAGGCGGUCUGUUAAGUCCGAUGUGAAAUCCCCGGGCUUAACCUGGGAACUGCAUUGGUGACUGGCAGGCUUUGAGUAUGGCAGAGGGAGGUAGAAUUCCACGUGUAGCAGUGAAAUGCGUAGAGAUGUGGAGGAAUACCGAUGGCGAAGGCAGCCUCCUGGGCCAACACUGACGCUCAUGCACGAAAGCGUGGGGAGCAAACAGG
rnacentral:rRNA from 1 species